rnacentral:rRNA from 1 species
GACGGAGGGUGCUAGCGUUGUUCGGAAUGACUGGGCGUAAAGGGCGCGUAGGCGGCUCGUGAAGUCGGGUGUGAAAGCCCGGGGCUCAACCCCGGAACGGCAUCCGAUACUGGCGGGCUUGAGACCGGGAGAGGAGGGUGGAAUACCCAGUGUAGAGGUGAAAUUCGUAGAUAUUGGGUGGAACACCGGUGGCGAAAGCGGCUCUCUGGCCCGGUACUGACGCUGAGGAGCGAAAGCGUGGGGAGCGAACAGG